rnacentral:rRNA from 1 species
GACUCCUACGGGAGGCAGCAGUAGGGAAUCUUCCACAAUGGACGAAAGUCUGAUGGAGCAACGCCGCGUGAGUGAUGAAGGUUUUCGGAUCGUAAAACUCUGUUGUAAGGGAAGAACAAGUACGAGAGGUAAUGCUCGUACCUUGACGGUACCUUGCGAGAAAGCCACGGCUAACUACGUGCCAGCAGCCGCGGUAAUACGUAGGUGGCAAGCGUUGUCCGGAAUUAUUGGGCGUAAAGCGCGCGCAGGCGGCCUUUUAAGUCUGAUGUGAAAGCCCCCGGCUCAACCGGGGAGGGUCAUUGGAAACUGGAAGGCUUGAGUACAGAAGAGAAGAGUGGAAUUCCAUGUGUAGCGGUGAAAUGCGUAGAGAUGUGGAGGAACACCAGUGGCGAAGGCGACUCUUUGGUCUGUAACUGACGCUGAGGCGCGAA